rnacentral:tRNA from 1 species
GGAGAGGUGCCCGAGCUGGCCGAAGGGGCACGAUUGGAAAUCGUGCGUACCCCUAAAAGGGGUACCGUGGGUUCGAAUCCCACCCUCUCCG